UACGUAGGUGGCAAGCGUUGUCCGGAUUCAUUGGGCGUAAAGGGCGCGUAGGCGGUCAGCACAAGUCAGUUGUGAAAUCUCCGAGCUUAACUCGGAAAGGUCAACUGAUACUGUGCGACUGGAGUGCAGAAGGGGCAACUGGAAUUCUUGGUGUAGCGGUGAAAUGCGUAGAUAUCAAGAGGAACACCUGCGGCGAAGGCGGGUUGCUGGGCUGACACUGACGCUGAAGCGCGAAAGCCAGGGGAGCGAACGGG
rnacentral:rRNA from 1 species